rnacentral:rRNA from 1 species
UCCAGACUCCUACGGGAGGCAGCAGUGGGGGAUAUUGGACAAUGGGGGAAACCCUGAUCCAGCGAUGCCGCGUGAGGGAAGAAGGUUUUCGGAUUGUAAACCUCUGUGGACAGGGACGAUAAUGACGGUACCUGUCAAGAAAGCCACGGCUAACUACGUGCCAGCAGCCGCGGUAAUACGUAGGUGGCGAGCGUUAUCCGGAAUUACUGGGUGUAAAGGGAGCGUAGACGGCGAGGUAAGCCUGAAGUGGAAGCCCGCGGCCCAACCGCGGAACUGCUUUGGGAACUGUUUUGCUGGAGUAUGGGAGGGGUAAGCGGAAUUCCUGGUGUAGCGGUGAAAUGCGUAGAUAUCAGGAGGAACACCGGUGGCGAAGGCGGCUUACUGGACCAUAACUGACGUUGAGGCUCGAAAGCGUGGGGAGCGAACAGGAUUAGAUACCCCCGUAGUG